rnacentral:RNase_P_RNA from 1 species
GAAGCCCGCCAGACCACCGCUGGUGCAAUUUGGGAAACCAAGCACUGGAGGAACGUCCGGACUGCAUAGGGCAGCGUAGCAGCUAACGGCUGUCCACUGACAAGUUGAUCGCGCAAGCGAAAGGCCCUAAGGUGAGGAUUAGAGCAACAGAGACGAGCCGAUUCAGUUCGGGUGAAACGGGCAAUCUCUACGCGCAGCAAUACCAAGUAGGCACACGUUGACGGGGCCCCCGGAGUGUGCGGGUAGGUAGCAUCGAGCCGUUUGGGUGACCAGCGGCCCAGAGUAAUGGUGGUCACAGAGGGGGAAACUUCUCUGCACAGAAUCCGGCUUAUCGGUGGGCUUCACAC